rnacentral:rRNA from 1 species
AUUGAACGCUGGCGGCAUGCCUUACACAUGCAAGUCGAACGGCAGCACGGGAGCAAUCCUGGUGGCGAGUGGCGAACGGGUGAGUAAUAUAUCGGAACGUGCCCAGUCGUGGGGGAUAACGUAGCGAAAGCUACGCUAAUACCGCAUACGAUCUAUGGAUGAAAGCGGGGGAUCGCAAGACCUCGCGCGAUUGGAGCGGCCGAUAUCAGAUUAGGUAGUUGGUGAGGUAAAGGCUCGCCGAGCCGACGAUCUGUAGCUGGUCUGAGAGGACGACCAGCCACACUGGGACUGAGACACGGCCCAGACUCCUACGGGAGGCAGCAGUGGGGAAUUUUGGACAAUGGGCGCAAGCCUGAUUCAGCAAUGCCGCGUGCAGGAUGAAGGCCUUCGGGUUGUAAACUGCUUUUGUACGGAACGAAACGGCGAGCUCUAAUACGGUUUGCUAAUGACGGUACCGUAAGAAUAAGCACCGGCUAACUACGUGCCAGCAGCCGCAGUAA